CAGUGCUCUAGUCACUUCACGCAUUUACCGCAUCUACACGCGCAGCUCAUCUUCUUGAACAAUCCAUCUCCCCACCCACCCACCGACCAGAGUCCCAAGAAGAACAAGAAGGCGAUCUAGCAGGGAGAAUGCCAUGGCCGCGCACGGGAGCUCACCCACCCUCCAGUUAGCGGUCAGCAUUUAGGUUUUUGCCUAUCAGCGAUUUGUUCAGCAAGAAGCCGCCGCCAAAAAAGUUCAUGGUGUUUGUCGGAAUGGAUAAUCAUUUUGCCGCGGAGGGAUCAGCAAGAGUUAUGAAUCAAGAUACAGUGAGCGAGGUUUCCCCGGAUGACUUAGAUAGCGAUGGCGAUUGUUCUGGCGGAUCCAGUGGUGUGGCAGGGACACCAUCAAUUACGUCUAGGCUCUCGUUGUUGAAGUUAGGCUCUGUUAUUUCCAAGUUUUCGGACUUCAAGAAACAACUAGUCAGAGAAACAGGUUUUGAUGGUUUGCUUCAGAUUAAGUCAUGGCAAAAAAUCAAUCUUAAGUACAGCACUUACCUCAUGGAUAGAGUCGAUGUUGACAGCAGCGUGAUCAACUUGGAAGGCCAGGGCAUGCUUGAGCUUACAGACAAGUCAGUUCACUCUGUUUUUGCAAUUCCAUGCGGUGAGCUAGCAAUUGGACCUGAAGGUGUCGAACCAUCCGAAGCUUGCAUUGAGUAUACACGUUUUGCAGCUAGCAUCAAUGACAAAGGUACACACAGCUUGAAAGCAGCAGAGGCAUACCUGCUACGGGACAUCACAGCCCAGUCCAGACAGAUUGAUAUCCAGUGUUUCAAAAUUGCAUUCGUCAUCUUUGUAGUUGGCCAUGUUCUUGCCCCAUCAGCCAAGCAUGAUUACAUAACAAUAGAUUUCUGGGCUGCCCUGAAUGAUGUUAGCAAAAUCAGAAAAUGGAACUGGUGCAGCUACCUUCUGAAGCACCUGUUCCAUGCUGUCAGGAAAUUCAAAUCAGAUGUCUCUAAGCGAAACCCAACCAUUCACAUUGUCGGAUGCCAUUUGUUCCUACAGCCUAGACCUUGGUCAAAUGAACAAGCCACACAGAAUGCAUCCAAGGAUAGCACUUUUCGAGUAUGAGUCCAUGAAGAAGAUGAUUGAGAUCAUAGCGGUCAACAUGGGAGGAGGUGAAAUAUCAUACCACGGCGCCUCGGCUAGGUCUGAACAAAACAUCAGCAAGGGCCUCGUCUGCGCAUCCACUGAUCCUGCAGACGAAAACAUUCCAAGGACAUCUACCAUGACCAAACGAGUCCAGAUGCCCUCCGCGCCUAUUUUAAGAGCUACCUACGCCAAAAUUGGACCCCAAGAUUUCUCAAACCAUCUACGGACAAACCACCCAUCAAUAUCCAGCGAGAAGCUUGGGAUACUCCUCCGAGAGCACAAUGCGCGUGGGUUGGCCAACAUUUCGGAGAUGAGGCAGGCUUUUCUGAAUGUGUGUUAUAUCGACUAGAGGGGGGGUGAAUAGGCGAUUUUUAUGAAUUCUUCACUGAGGAAUUUGCCGGUAGCUCAUCUGCCAAUAGCUCAAUUGCACGGAAGAGGGGGGUUGUGUUCAGCCCGUCCAUCCAGGGGGAAUCAUCGAAGAAGGUCUGUGUGCGACUGGACGACCCACUCCAAACUAUUAGCCCUUCAGCUGUCGAUACUAUCAACAACUCAUCUUUGUCAGCAAAGCAAGAUAGUCGCCGUGAGGUUGCCGAUAGUAUAUAUGCAUUCUUUGACGACCUGACUGCUAGCAUUGUUACAUACUAUGCUGAGCAACGCCCGAGCUCUGGAUAUGUGACAUUCGGAACAACGAACGACAGCGUGCCAGCCAAAAUUCGGAUUACUAAAUGCAACAUCACCCGUGACCCAUGGGCAAUUGGGUCAGUCCCUUUGCCUCCGGCAGCUCCAGUUCUCAGGGCCAUAAAAGAUUGGUUUGCUGGGUCAGCCACUCUUAUUCUUGAAAGGAAAUGGAUUAUGCAUCCGAAGCCGAGACUCAUAUUACUUGAUGGCAUUGAAAUCAAGCAACAACUAUCAGGCAAAGAACAGCUUAGCCAUGAGAUGUGUGCUGCUAUCUUUAGGAGACUGUCACAGAUGGACAAGAGCUUCACGAAGGACACAUUGACCAUGUUUUGGAGGAAGUUUCUAGAGCCCGACUUCGCUACUGCGGUUUUGUCAAAUGCGGAUCCAUUGACGAUCCAGUCAAUCCGUGCAACAUUUACCGAAGAAAACGAGAUUUUCAGCCCAGCCUCUAGCCGGAUGUGGCAUAUCCCUGCAUUGCUGCCCGACGGCUGGUCCGUCUACUCAUUUGACAUGCUCAGAAGAAGGAUUGCAGUACUUGACCCGGCAGUUGGACCAUUUGGGUUUAGCAACCGAAGGAUCAACAUGCACACAUACGUAUCUGACUUGCUACACGCUGCCCUCUUCAGAUGCAUCCAAUCCCUGUAUGAUUCCUGGCAUUGCAGUUCCGGAGAAUGGACCCGGGCAUUUCCUGUUAUCAUGGUAGAGAACAUUGAUAAGGAGGACUACGGUGUGUGCUCUUCGUUCUUCGCCAGGAAUUAUGAUGGCGACAAACUGCAGAUCCCACUAACCAAAGCAAACCUGGAGAUACAUAGGAACCUGAUGUUGUACGAGGUUAUGCGCCUUUAGGGCAAUGAAUCGCCAGUGCCUUCUGAUGCACUUGAAGCUAUCAAGGGAUCAUUCGUAGCUCUGUGACCAGCCUGUCUAUGCUUAUGUCAUGUACAUCGACUCACCCGCCGCCACCAAUCUAUCUUUAAGAAUACUAGCUAUCCGCAAGAUGUUUUAAGUGGUCCCUUAAGCACUAGCAAGUUAUGUUUUUUGCUAGAUGCAGUCUUGUUGUCAAACAAAAUUUGAGAGGCACGUUGUUUCUAAAUUUGGACGCUGCCAAUUCAAAUUGUAUCAGCCCAUUUGUCCUUAAGGGAUGCCCCCAUCUGUUUAAAUGGGAAACCAUAUGUUUCUAUGAUCGGAAAAAUAACAUCUUUGUUUGGUUAGGAGUGAAAUCCUUCCAUUAGACAA